UACAGAGGUCCCGAGCGUUGUUCGGAUUCACUGGGCGUAAAGGGUGCGUAGGUGGUGAGGUAAGUCGGAUGUGAAAUCUCCGAGCUCAACUCGGAAAUGGCAUUGGAAACUACCUUGCUCGAGGGUUGGAGGGGGGACUGGAAUACUUGGUGUAGCAGUGAAAUGCGUAGAUAUGCGGAGGAACACCGAUGGCGAAGGCAAUCCCCUGGGCCUGCACUGACGCUCAUGCACGAAAGCGUGGGGAGCAAACAGG
rnacentral:rRNA from 1 species